rnacentral:rRNA from 1 species
ACGGGUGAGUAAUGCUUAGGAAUCUGCCUAUUAGUGGGGGACAACAUCUCGAAAGGGAUGCUAAUACCGCAUACGUCCUACGGGAGAAAGCAGGGGACCUUCGGGCCUUGCGCUAAUAGAUGAGCCUAAGUCGGAUUAGCUAGUUGCUGGGGUAAAGGCCUACCAAGGCGACGAUCUGUAGCGGGUCUGAGAGGAUGAUCCGCCACACUGGGACUGAGACACGGCCCAGACUCCUACGGGAGGCAGCAGUGGGGAAUAUUGGACAAUGGGGGGAACCCUGAUCCAGCCAUGCCGCGUGUGUGAAGAAGGCCUUUUGGUUGUAAAGCACUUUAAGCGAGGAGGAGGCUACCGAGAUUAAUACUCUUGGAUAGUGGACGUUACUCGCAGAAUAAGCACCGGCUAACUCUGUGCCAGCAGCCGCGGUAAUACAGAGGGUGCAAGCGUUAAUCGGAUUUACUGGGCGUAAAGCGCGCGUAGGUGGCCAAUUAAGUCAAAUGUGAAAUCCCCGAGCUUAACUUGGGAAUUGCAUUCGAUACUGGUUGGCUAGAGUAUGGGAGAGGAUGGUAGAAUUCCACGUGUAGCGGUGA